rnacentral:rRNA from 1 species
CCUACGGGUGGCAGCAGUGAGGAAUAUUGGUCAAUGGACGAGAGUCUGAACCAGCCAAGUAGCGUGAAGGAUGACUGCCCUAUGGGUUGUACACUCCUUUUAUACAGGAAUAAAACGAGGCACGUGUGCCUUUUUGCAUGUACUUUAUGAAUAAGGACCGGCUAACUCCGUGCCAGCAGCCGCUGUAAUACGGAGGAUCCGAGCGUUAUCCGGAUUUAUUGGGUUUAAAGGGAGCGUAGAUGGGAUGUUAAGUCAGAUGUGAAAGUUUGCGGCUCAACCGUAAAAUUGCAAUUGAUACUGGCAGGCUUGAGUACAGGUGAGGUAGGCGGAAUUCGUGGUGUAGCGGGGAAAGGCUUAGAUAUCACGAAGAACACCGAGUGCGAAGGCAGCUUACGGGACUGAGACUGACGUUGAUGCUCGAAAGUGUGGGUAUCAAACAGGAUUAGAUACCCGAGUAGUC